rnacentral:rRNA from 1 species
ACUUAGUGGCGGACGGGUGAGUAACGCGUGGGUAACCUGCCCUGUACAGGGGGACAACAGCUGGAAACGGCUGCUAAUACCGCAUAAGCCCUUAGCACUGCAUGGUGCAUAGGGAAAAGGAGCAAUCCGGUACAGGAUGGACCCGCGUCUGAUUAGCCAGUUGGCAGGGUAACGGCCUACCAAAGCGACGAUCGGUAGCCGAUCUGAGAGGAUGUACGGCCACAUUGGGACUGAGACACGGCCCAGACUCCUACGGGAGGCAGCAGUGGGGAAUAUUGCACAAUGGAGGAAACUCUGAUGCAGCGACGCCGCGUGAGUGAAGAAGUAUUUCGGUAUGUAAAGCUCUAUCAGCAGGGAAGAAAAUGACGGUACCUGACUAAGAAGCACCGGCUAAAUACGUGCCAGCAGCCGCGGUAAUACGUAUGGUGCAAGCGUUAUCCGGAUUUACUGGGUGUAAAGGGAGCGUAGGUGGCAAGGCAAGCCAGAAGUGAAAACCCGGGGCUCAACCGCGGGAUUGCUUUUGGAACUGUCAUGCUAGAGUGCAGGAGGGGUGAGCGGAAUUCCUAGUGUAGCGGUGAAAUGCGUAGAUAUUAGGAGGAACACCGGAGGCGAAGGCGGCUCACUGGA